rnacentral:lncRNA from 1 species
UCUAGACGUUUUGCUUUUUCUCUCUUUUUAGCUCCUUCUUCGUUUUCAAAUUGAAAAUUUUCCCUUUCUAGUCUUUAAGUAUUUUGUAAUUGAUCCAAAUCGAGUGUGUUGUGUUUAUGUACGAUUAGGCCUGAAAGAGAGGCUGAUUUGUAUAGAUUAAAUCCAUAUAGUUUUGAUUGGUUUAUCUUAGAUAAGUUUCUUAGUUUUACGAGAUCUAUUCAAUUCGUGGCUAAAACUUGGUUUGAGUGGUUCUUCAUGUAAUCUUGAUCUCUUGGAAGGUAGUUUAUGCACUAGUGGAAUGGGCUAUCCCUGAGCCCCCAGAUUAGGCUUAUUGGCUGAACUGGGUCAACAUUUCUUGAUGUUCUUGUGUUCAUCUUUAUAGUUUUCAUUGUGUGUGAUGUUUUAUAUUUUGAUUUAAUACUCGAAUCAACCGUAAAUUCCCAACAAAAUUGGCAUCAAAGCUUCUAAGGUCCCUUUUUUUAUUUCUUUUUACGAAAUUUUCUUCCUUAGGGCACACUGGUUCUUCAUAUUUGUACAGAUCUGCAACGAUCUGCACAAAUAGUCUAUUUUUGGUAUCAUGUUUUUAAGCUGCGAUAAAUCUGGGCAAUACCCCAUUCGUUGAUCUGUUUGUUUUUUAGUAAGGAAAGAGGCUUAACUGAAGGCUCUAACCGUUGGCUUGAUUUAAGGCAUUAUAUUGAUGAUACUAUUUUAACAGUAUUGAUAAGAUCUUUCCGAAUCACCCUUUACAAAUUCGGUUUGAUAUCUUUUUGUAUAAGAUAUAUACAUGUUAUGAUAUAUGUAACUCUGAAAAUUUUGUAAAUUGGUGAUAUACAUAUAUAUGUGUUACAAUCUUGCAAUUACUAUCAAAGCCUUACAUCGUACCCUCAUAUAUUUGACUGAAG